AUUGAACGCUGGCGGAAUGCUUUACACAUGCAAGUCGAGCGGCAGCGCGGGGCAACCUGGCGGCGAGCGGCGAACGGGUGAGUAAUACAUCGGAACGUACCCUGUCGUGGGGGAUAACGAGUCGAAAGAUUCGCUAAUACCGCAUACGACCUGAGGGUGAAAGCGGGGGAUCGCAAGACCUCGCGCGAUAGGAGCGGCCGAUGGCGGAUUAGCUAGUUGGUGAGGUAAAGGCUCACCAAGGCGACGAUCCGUAGCGGGUCUGAGAGGACGACCCGCCAAACUGGAGCUGAGACACGGUCCAGACUCCUACGGGAGGCAGCAGUGGGGAAUUUUGGACAAUGGGGGCAACCCUGAUCCAGCCAUUCCGCGUGAGUGAAGAAGGCCUUCGGGUUGUAAAGCUCUUUCGGCAGGAACGAAACGGUCCUUUCUAAUACAGAGGGCUAAUGACGGUACCUGAAGAAGAAGCACCGGCUAACUACGUGCCAGCCGCCGCCGUAA
rnacentral:rRNA from 1 species